UAUUCUUUUUAUCGAUGAAUAUCUUUCAUUUAAAAUCACGAAUUGUUUAACAACAUUUUGAUAAUUUGAUUUUUUUUUUUUAUUUAAUAUUUUUUUUAUUCCUAGAUGUAAAUUAUUUUUUAAUUACUAAUCCAAUAAUUGAGUUUGUUACAGGUAUGAAUUGAAGAAAAUAAACAAGAAAAAAUAGAUACGAAAUAAUGUGUGAUUCUCAUUUGCUAUAAAUUAAUUACCUUUAUUAUUGUUGUUAUUUCACUAAUUCUGUUGUUCACUAAUUCUGUUCAUAAUCUGUUUCAGGAAUUUUCUUCAGCUUUCAAUGGAUUUCUUGUUACAGGAACAGAAGAUUGUAUGAUACUGAUUAAAGAAAACGUAUUUAGAAUUAAGUGCAUGCACGAUCAAGGGUUUAUUAAAUAAAGUAGUGUAUUGUAGAAAAGUAGACACUGUAGAUGGGUAAAAUGGUGUAACGCUUUUUGGGAUGCUUAUUUUGCUUAUUUUUUUUCUUUUUUUUUUUUGCGCACGCUUUUUACUAUCGAUCAUUUUUCAUUUUCCUACCGAUGGAAAUGUAAAAUAUUGAUAGAAAAUCUUUUAAUUUUAAUUUUAUCUUCACGUUUAGUCUUCCGCGCCGGGUUCUUUAGAAUUCCUUUUGCUGUUUGUUUUGCACAACGAUCGAAGGAUCUGAACGUUUUGCAAAUUUAUAUCAAAAGGAAGAUUUAUUUAUUAUUGAUUUUAAAUAAAUUUUUGCGUAAAGGAGGGUGGAUGGGAUCGUGGAUAGGGUGGGUCUCCAAUUCGCAGCAACCUCCACGCGGUGAGACCUGGAAAAUCAUUAUUAUUUACUAUAUUCUUCAUAAUCGUAUCCUUGAUACAAUUAUAAAUUUUAUAGCAAAUAAGAUGAGCUAAUUGGCUGCGCACGCGAUUUCAAUGAUUAUUUUUUUUAUUUUGUAGUUAGAUUAUUAGUUAAGAUUUAUUGAAAUAAUAGUGAUCAAAAGUUUGAACGUUUUGUAAACAUACAAUGAAAGGAAAAUUUAUUUGUGAAUAAAAUAAUUUGUGAAAAUUAUAAA